AUAGCAGAGGAGAUAGAAAAAAUAAGCAUAAUUCAAAUAUUAAGGAUGUUCUGAAGGAGGAAAUGAAAGUUUUCAUGGCGAUGGGAGUAUGCAUCAUUCUGCCAGGGUUUGGAUUUUUCGCUAUUGGUUGUGGCUUAAUUAAAAAGAAAGUGCUGCAAAUCGAGUUCACAGAAAAAGGUCAAAUCAGAAAAUGGAAAUAUUCAGAAAGAGAGCGCAAACCCAUAGUGACAGUCCAAACAAACAAAGUUGUCACAUUUUGCGAACAUUACUAUUUAAUAUUACUGUUUAUCAUUAGUAAUUCUGCAUAUACGAGGGUUGUUGGAAAAGUUCGUGGACUCCUUUCAUAUCUUUUUUAUUCAACAUUAUAUGCUAACCAAAUUUGGUGGCAAUAUUUUACAAUAUAGCCAAAUGAUUUGUAUUGCCUAAUUUUAAUUCAUCAUGAUUUAUUUCAAACCUAUCCAGAAUUUUAAUCUAUAACAAUCGGACCGCGGAGCAGGUCAAAAUUUAGUAAUUCACAAACAAUGCAUGAAAUAAAUAUGACAAUGUCUGUAGUCAUAUUCUCUGUAAAAUGGCGCGAAAACAAAAAAAAAAAGAUCCUAGAAUUUAUAAAUAAUAACUGUUGUAUGGAUUCAUAUUACAAAUUAUGGCUUAAUAUUUUGAUUCGUUGAAAAGAAAUCGAUUUAGGAAGAUAGUCCUUAUUGAAAGCGACAAAAAUAAUGGCGUUGUUGAACGUCAUGGGGCAGAAUAUAUCUAUUCAAUUUUGUGUUAUACUAGGGAAAAAUUAUGAAACAACUCAAAAAAUAUCAAAGGAAUCAAAAUAUGUCACAAUUAAGUCGUGCAUGUGUUUAUGAAUGGUAUUUGAGUGACAAAGACUCUGUAUCGGACGAGGACAAUCUGUGAAGAAACGGUUUAUUUGAUCACAUCUUUUCAAAAACUUUAGAAAUUUGCAAAGUCGUAAGAUGAUAUAAAGGCGCCUCUGAGUUGAUUAUCUUGUGAAAGAACAGCUAAGUAGUAAAAAAAAUAAAAAAUUGACAAAAGAAAUUAUGCAACGAGAACUAUUGUUUAGAUAAAUGGAUUUCAAUUGAUAGAAAAAGUUUUUAAUAUGAAUAGGGAUAGUAUAUUUACAAAAUUGUUGACGCUGUGUUUUUAGACGUAACAUUGCCGUUAAGCAUGCUCCGCGGGUACAAAAAAUGUUGACUUUAAAAUGAAAUAAAUUGAUUUCUAAUAAAUCGAAUGAAAUAAAACUUCACACAUCUACAAAGCAAAUAUUAUUACACAUGAUACUGAGCUUAUUUUAAAUUUCUUGAAAUAAGUAAAACGAAGAUUUACACGAACUUUUCGAAGUUAACAUUAUUAAGUUUAAAAAGAUGAAAAAAGAAUUUAAACAUAACUAUUCAAGAUUGAAUACCGUUCCUUAUUAUCAUAUUUUGAUUGACAAAGAACAACAGAAAAAAGAAUUUAAAAAACAACUUUUAAAGGGUUUCAUUGAAAUCCGCUCAUAUAUAUAUAUAUAUUUUUUUUUUUAUAUAAAUUUUAUUUAGGUUAAAAUUCGAGGCAAUCGCAGAGAUAAUGCAGUAUUCCUUAUAAUCAAAAUGUGUCGGAACUAUUGAAACUAUUCAAAACGCGUCAAAUUUAUUCAUUUAUGUUCAAAAAUUAUUGAAAUCGUUGUAGAUUAGAUAUAAUUCGUCAUGGAAAAGGGGGCCCUAGAUAUCAGAACUUUAAUGUCACAUUCUUUCAAAUACUUUGUAAGAUGUUUGUGUAUUAUAGAAUAUAUCAAGAUAGCGAAAAAUACUUAUGUUCAAAUAUAAAGACCAUAAACAAUACAGAUUUUGGAGCAGAGCUAACACGGAAUUAAAUAUCAGAGGUGGGAUCAUGUAUCAUUGAGGAGUUAGCAUCCCUUGCCGACCGGUCACAACCGCCGAGUGUACUAUGUAAUUAUUGGGUGGAUGGACUUUACUUGUAAUAAUAUUUUGAGUGUGCCAAAACAAUGUGACAACAUUGGCUCUGAAUGUUAGAAUUUGCAUAUAUUAUUACAUAUCAUGAAUUAGUUACCCUUCAUCUUAAAUUUGCGUGUAUUUCUUGAGUUAACUGUAAUUAUCUUACAUUAUUGUAGAAGUUCUACAUAUGUGGAUAAGCCGUAAUACUAUGAAUCAUUUGCUGCCAUGUAACUUGUUUACAGUCUGUCUGCCAUCUUUAUAUCGGCGCAUGUUAUGUACAUUAGUAACGUAUUUUACCUAUUGGCUAACUUGUCAUUCAUAUUAUAUCAUAGGCAUAAUCACUUGCUAUUAAUAAUGUUGAUUAUUAUUGUGGGUUAUACUAUUCAUUUUAGCAAUUAUUAUUCCCGAUUACGUGUGUCUACAACUUGCACUAUACAUUUAAUCCAUCUGCGAUAACGUCUGCAUACUCAGCAAGUUUACUUAUGUGAAAUUUACAAGUUUCAGAUAUAAUUUGUUUACUUACUUAUUAUAGGCACAUCUUUUGUGAUCCAUAUUUAUCUUUUCACAUGUUAAUUCCCAGGUUUGUGUAUAAUCCAUAUUGUACGACAACUUUUUUUGAUAGUACGACACGAUUUUUAUUUUUAAUGACGUCGUACAUUGUUGUGAUUGGUUGAACGUCGCCAUACAACAUUUAUAUUGGUUGAAUCUUGUCAUGUAACCCUUUUCCGAAGGUUAUAUAUAGGGACCGAUUGCAUUAAGUUAACAGAUAAUUUGCCAACUUGUCAGGAGCGAAUAUUCAAAUAGAGAUAAAUCCAAGAUCCGCUCAGCCUUGCAAUUGUAAUUUCGGGUGAGAAAGUUAUCGACAAUUAACUAGCAAACACACUUGACACCUAUUUAAUUGUUAAUAAUUGUGGGGAUCAUCCUAGUAUACCCAUUGUACACCCCCGUUUAAAAAAGUAGCUUGUAAGAUAGAUUCCACCAAAAUUUAUUAUUGUACCUGUUGAAAUGAGAACUGUUUUAUGAUUAAUAAAUAUUGAAAGCAA